CACACACACACACACACACACACUCACGCACACAGUCAUUAAUUUUGGGAAGACACUGUCAGUAUCUGUCUACGCAAGCUCUCUGGAACUGCCUGUGCAGUAACUUUGUGCAGCAUCAUGGAGGUCACCCCAUCUGUGCCAGAUAGUGUGGUGUCUUAAUGCACAUCACCUUCUAACCAAUCAGAAUCCAGUAUUGAGACUGACCAUGGACUCGGCGGUGAUGAAACAGACUCUGCUUGCCUGUGAGUGGGUGGAGGAGAACAGACCCCACUUUGCUGGGAAAGUUCACUUACCACGGAUCAUGAGGAUGAACGAGGAUGAUGCCUUGUUGGCCAUCACAAUGCAGGACCUGUUUAUCAACACUAUUUUUUAUGAAAGUGAAAUGGACGAACAGAAAAUCCGGGCUCCCUUCCUUUUCACCUUCGAGAGAUUAGAGGAUAUGGAG